rnacentral:sRNA from 1 species
GCCGGGCAUGGUGGCGCAUGCCUGUAGUCCCAGCUACUCGGGAGGCUGAGGCAGGAGGAUCCCUUGAGCCCAGGAGAUUGAGGUUGCUGUGAGCUAGGCUGACGCCACGGCACUCUAGCCUGGGCAACAAAGCAAGACUCUGUCUAAAUAAAUAAAUAAAGUAUGGUUAUUAUCAGGAUUAUUGUGACCAGGGUUUCACUGUGUUGCCCAUGCUAGAGUACAGUGGCACAGUCAUAGCUCACUGCAACCUCAAGAUUCCUGGGUUAAUGGGAUUCUCCUGCCUCA